AUGGUGGUGCUCCUAGAAGCCCCUCACGGGGCUAUACCUGGAAGAGGGAAUAAUCUAAAUCAAGUGGAUGUUAUAGUUGAUGCUGAUGUUGUUUGUGAGAGAGAGGAGGACAACAUAAAUAGAGAGGAGGACAACAUAAAUGUAGUCGGUAAUGGAAGGGAGGAGAGAAAUAUAGCAACAGAUGUAGAUGUCUCUAGUAGAAUAGAGAAUGACACCCAAAGUCAAGUUGAAGUGAAUGUUGGACAACAGAUAACGGAAUGGCAGGCUAUGUUCUGGACCGAUGCUCAGAUUAGUGACCCAGAUCGUUUGUUUGAGGAAGAUGAGCCAGUUGGUGUUGAUGAGGAACACUUGAAUGGAGUUAAAGAUCCUAUGUGUAGUAAAGAGGCAACGGUCCAAAUGCAAUUGCAACUCAGGAUGUCCCUAAUAUAAUGAGUCUGAU
rnacentral:lncRNA from 1 species